UAACGGCCGCGGUAUCCUAACCGUGCAAAGGUAGCGUAAUCACUUGUCCCCUAAAUAGAGACUAGUAUGAACGGCUAAAUGAGGACCUAACUGUCUCCUGCGGCCAAUCAAUGAACCUGAUCUCCCAGUACAAAAGCUGGGAUCAACACAUAAGACGAGAAGACCCUGUGGAGCUUUAAACAACACCACUACCAACCCAUAAAAACCAAAUCCAACACACGGAUGUACCACCCCACACAACAUUAGUGAUAAUUUUAAGUUGGGGCGACUACGGAGCAAAAUAAAACCUCCACGAACCAGGGCCAACCCCACCCUAGACCAACACAUCAAAGACACAAAACACUACGACCCAGUACCACUGAUCACCGAACCAAGUUACCCCAGGGAUAACAGCGCUAUCCUCUCCAAGAGUUCAUAUCGACAAGAGGGUUUACGACCUCGAUGUUGGAUCAGGGCCCCCAGGUGGUGCAGCCGCUACCAAAGGUUCGUUUGUUCAACGAUUAAUGCCCUAC
rnacentral:rRNA from 1 species